UCUGCAGGAUAGUGUGUAUCGGCUUUAUGCUCCUUCAUUGCAUUUUUUGCCGAAAGUGUUUCCUGCCAUAUCAACCUGAGGAAAGUGGGCAGUUGGGUUAAGCUUAUCUGCUUUCUCCAACAAUCAUUUUCCUCUCAUGU